CCCAGCCAAACCAGCAGACACGGACACCUGGCAGACUGAGGUCUCUUCCCAUGGUCUCUGCAGCUCUCUGGGCACCACGUCUGACAUGGCUGUCACCUAUGAUCCACGCUGUGUCUAUGGAAGGAAAAUAAAUGAGUUCAGUAAAUGCUUCAGCUUACAGCUCAUUCAAGUGCCACCAGUGUGUUUUUUCGAGUAGUAUUUCUUGAAUUUCUUCUAUUUCAUCUUUCUUCUGAGCUUACAGCUCAUUCAAGUGCCACCAGUAUGUUUUUUCGAGAAUUUCUUGAAUUUCUUCUAUUUCAUCUUUCUUCUGAGGUAAGUAAGAUUAAAAACUGUUUUAAACUUGAUUUUGCCAGUUAUUUUAUCAAAUACUGAUAAUGGUGCACAGCUACAGCUUUUAACGUGUAAUAAAUGUGACAUUUCAAAAGAUUCAUACAAGGUUAAAAGUUUUAAAACACACCUUUUAGACUGUUUUUUUAGGUUUGUGUUUGUUAUUUAAAAUGAAAUUUGCGUUAUACAUAACAUUGUGGAAAGCAGUGAUGGAGUGUACAUGGUAUACGAAGAAUUUUUAGAGAAGUUUUUGUUCAAAAACCUACUUUGUUGGUUUUACUUUCAUGCAUCGGGGAGUCCUUAUUGUGGACAUUAUUGUGGAGUCCUGCUGUAUAUUUAUUUUUUAAAUGUUUGUUCUUUUCAGCAACAAUCUGUCUUUAUGUUCUGUAACAUUUCUUUUAGAUAAGAUGAAUAGAAAAACUGUUCCUGUCUCCAGCUCUACCUUAAGACGGAGGACCCGUGUAGACGUAGAUAAAAGACUUAAACAAAUUAGGGAUGACUACAUAAAUUUGACUGACUUUCAAGUGACAACAGAGAGGGACCUUGUAGAUGUCAAUAGAGAGCUUUCUGAAGAAAGUCCAGACAAUCAAGCUUAUUCAGACACUGCAACUGGACUAGUCUUUAGUGAGGAGGAAGGUGGCAUGGAGGUAGAUGCAGACAUACAGGAGGGUUUUGUGAUUGGCAGCUGUGAUAGGCCGAUUCAGACAUCUGAUUCAGAACAUUCAGAAGAUGAACGGCCUGAGACAUUUUCACUCUCUGACAGUAUUUCCAACUGGGCCAUACACUUUGGCAUUUCUUUGGUUGCUUUGACAGCACUAUUGUGCAUACUUCGCAUUUGCCAUCCUGAUCUUCCAAAGGAUGCUAGAACCCUCCUUAGGACUAAGACAAAGUACACUAUUCUAGAAAGGGCUGGGGGACAGUAUCACUAUUUUGGUAUUCUGUCAUCACUUAAGAAUAUGCUGUCUAAAUACCUACACACACUGGCUGACUGAUUCACUUUGAAGUUGCAAAUAAACAUAGAUGGACUUCCUUUGUUCAAGAGCUCUAGUCUGCAACUGUGGACCAAAACUUGUUCUGUGGACCAAAGAAACCAAGCUCAGCAAAGGAGUUUCUUGGAGAUUUUGUUGCUGAGUUACAACAGCUUGAGAAAGGUUUUGAAAUAGAGGGUAAGACAUUGAAGCUCGAACUGGACACAGUAAUUUGUGACACACCAGCAAGGUCCUUUAUUAAAAACACAAAGAGCCACAAUGGCUACCAUGGUUGUGAUAAAUGUUCUCAGCCUGGAAAACAUGUUAACAGACGCAUGACAUACCCAUAUACAGACUAUGCCCUAAGGACAGAUGAUUCAUUUGAAAACAUGGUUGAUGAGGUCCAUCAUCAUGAGGGGCCACAUCCAUUUCAUGGCAGCAGUGUUGGGAUGGUUUCUCAAUUCCCUCUAGAUUAUAUGCAUUUGGUUUGUUUAGGUGUGGUUAGGCGCUUGCUGAAUAUUUGGCUCAGGGGUCCUCUGAAUUUCAGAGUACCUGCAAACAUAGUGUAACCUUUGGCUAUAAGUAACGGCAACCCCUACUACGCCACCUAAGCGAUCUACCCAGGAAUAAAAUAGUUGUACCAAAAAAAGAAAUUCAACCAAAAGGAAUUACAAUAAAAUGAAGGACCCUGCCGGUUCGGUAGGAAUUAAAGACAGAGACGUGACUUUCUACAAAUAUAACAUUAAUUUAUUUCACAAAUCAACAACUAUAAAAUCUUCUUAAAAUGAGAAUCUCUUCAGCAGUUGACCAGUUAUUUACUCAGUUAUUAUGGAACUAGUAUGAGUUUCACAGAAGGGACACAAACCACAGCAAUCAGUGCAUCACAAUCAUUAGAAAUAAGUGAAAACAAAUACAAAAACAAACCCAAAAAAAGAAAAGACAAUUCUCCCCCCUUCCGUUAAAUCUCAAUAUUACAGCUCCUCAAAUAAUGCAAAUAAACACAUGGCAAACAUUACUGAUACAAAAAAAAAAAAAAAAAAAAGAAUACAAUAAAUGCAAAAAAAUAAAUAAAUCACAAUUAACAUUGCACAAUAACUCGAACUGCUUCACAGAAGGCGAAGAAUACAAAGCAGGUUAGUUUAAUAUACUUGCAAGGAGGACGAAAGCUUUCAACACUGGUUCCAACUGGUCAUACAGAUAAAUAGGGCAGAAUAAUCUUUAAAAACAGUUCAAAUAAACGGCGCAAGACAGCGACGUCUACAGCCAGUUGUAUCCUCGAUGAAAAACGGGAACAUGGAACGGUUAUAUGAAAACCAGUGGAAACACAUAUCAAACAGGUAUAAAAAAUAUAUAGAAGCAGGUGUAUCAAACGCCUCUCAAACAAGUUCAUCAAACAAGUACAUUCUAACAGGUAUUUCAAACAGUUAUAAACAGCAGCUAUAAACAGCAGCUAGCGCUCAGGCCGCACCUGAAAAACAAAAAAAUAAAGUUUCAAAUAAUUUCCCCCUUCCAGAAAAAGAACCCCUGAGAAAAAUAUCUUACCUCCCAAGCGGGACUCAGACUACAGUAACCUUGUUACCUGCGUUCAAUUGCCACCUCACGCACACACAUCCCCGAUGACAAACGUGUAUUUAGACUAAAAUCUAAAACUAUGAGAAAGGCAACCAAAUGAGCGACUUACCAGGGAAAAGCAACAGGAAAUAAGCCACAAGACCUUUUCUGCCCACGACACACAAAGGGAAAUCACAGCGCUAUACUUGGACAUGGUUUUUAUAAAGCCACUAACAUGCGUCCCUGAUUACACCGCACAGGUGUGUUCCAUAACAGAACGCAGCUCCAGCUCAGGGGACACGCCCACUACGGUGAAGUAUACACCAUUAAAGAAAAAUAAAAGAAAGCUCAACCUGUCACAUUCAGCACAAAGAGUUUUGAUCUACUGUAUCAUUCAGACAUCAACAGUCAAUGCUGACAAUCAAAGGAAAGCUUCAUUCUCAAUGCAUGCUGGGUAGUGGGUACCAGUAUAAUAUGAAGCUCAUCCAUGGCUCCCAGCAUGAAAAAAAUUAUGCAGGUAAUUGUCUUAGUAUUUACUUUUAUUUUUGCAGUUGUUUUGUUGUGAGUUUGUAGGAGCUUGAUUUGUGAUGUUCAGAGUUGAUAUGUGUUCAUUAGUUUUGGUUGUGUUUGUUGAUUUUUGCUUUAUGUUCUUAAUUCUGUAAACUGAUUGCAUAUGGAUUCUCACCUCAAGUAUGCUCCUUUGUCCCAUCAAAAUGAUACAAGAUCUUUUUGACAUAGAUGCUUAAGGCCUGAAUAUGCGCAUAUAUUUAGUACAGCUUUGUGAAUGGUCUACACAGUUUGCACAGUUGGCUAUUGUCCUGUGACCAUAUUACAGACAAAUUAAGUGCAUUAUGUCAUUCUGUUCCGUGUUCCAGUUACGUAGGAUCUAUUUGCUAAUGUUUAAAUUAACUUAAGACAGGGGAUAGAUGGAUAACUUUUUAUCUUUCCAGGAUCAGGAACAAGGAAAUGUUGACCAGGAAAUAUUGUACUUAGAGUCAUAUGCUCCUUUCAUGGGCCUUUAGUUUGAAUCUAUCCUGAUGCAGAUUUGCGGAAAUAUGGACUCCAAUAAUCUACUGGUCAUAAUGAUUUCAGAAGAAUCCAGAGUAAAUCAAAUAUAACAUUUUAUUUGUCAGGUAAAAAUGUAUCAUGCCAAUUACAUAACCAAUUAGAAGCCAAUUCAGAAAUAAUAAAUGCAUAACAUCAGUUGCUCAAAUAUGACUCUUAGAGUAAGAAAUGCAGAUACACACAGUGGCGGGUUAGUGUUUUUAAAGGGUUAGUUCUGAAGGGAUGGAUUCUGGAUUCCACUGCCGCUUCAAUAUAUAUCUUUUAAGUUAUUAAUCAACAUAUAUAUUUCUGUUAAAUUAUUUGAAUGACUUCUUCAACGUAUGUUAAGCAUUUAUUUUCCUUUUCAAACACUAGA